rnacentral:lncRNA from 1 species
UAGUUUUAGCCAUUGGAUUUCAUUCAAACCACCCCAAAUGACUCGUCCCAACAUAUUAUGAUGUUUCCCAAUUUUUGGACUCAAUCCGAUAUCGAUUGGUCCAUGAAAUUGGACAGUUCAGGUUCGGACGAAGUUCGUUCUGAAAUGGAGCGGUUAGUGUAUUUCAAAGUUUUAGACAUUGGAUUUCACUAAAAAGUCACCAAAUGACUCUUCC